UACGUAGGGUGCGAGCGUUGUCCGGAAUUAUUGGGCGUAAAGAGCUUGUAGGCGGUUUGUCGCGUCUGCCGUGAAAAUUCGAGGCUCAACCUCGAACUUGCGGUGGGUACGGGCAGACUAGAGUGUGGUAGGGGAGACUGGAAUUCCUGGUGUAGCGGUGAAAUGCGCAGAUAUCAGGAGGAAUACCGGUGGUGUAGACGGCUCUCUGGACCGCCACUGACGCUGAGACACGAAAGCGUGGGUAGCAAACAGG
rnacentral:rRNA from 1 species